CGGGUUGCAACAGUAACCCAUUAAAGUUGUAAGGUUGGAGAGAGUAUAUAAGUCCUAACCUGUAAAAACAAAUAAACUGCAUUGUACAAAAUGAAUUAUUAUACUAAUUUUUGAGGACUAAUAAAGAACAAACCAGCAAAG